UACGUAGGGUGCGAGCGUUUGUCCGGAAUUAUUGGGCGUAAAGGGCUCGUAGGCGGUUUGUCGCGUCGGGAGUGAAAACGCCGUGCUUAACACGGCGCUUGCUUUCGAUACGGGCAGACUAGAGGUAUGCAGGGGGAGAACGGAAUUCCUGGUGUAGCGGUGAAAUGCGCAGAUAUCAGGAGGAACACCGGUGGCGAAGGCGGCUCUCUGGACGGAUACUGACGCUGAGGAGCGAAAGCGUGGGGAGCGAACAGG
rnacentral:rRNA from 1 species